rnacentral:rRNA from 1 species
UGGGGAAUAUUGCAUAAUGGGCGCAAGCCUGAUGCAGCCAUGCCGCGUGUAUGAAGAAGGCCUUCGGGUUGUAAAGUACUUUCAGACGGGAGGAAGGUGGUAAGGUUAAUAACCUUAUCAAUUGACGUUACCGACAGAAGAAGCACCGGCUAACUCCGUGCCAGCAGCCGCGGUAAUACGGAGGGUGCAAGCGUUAAUCGGAAUUACUGGGCGUAAAGCGCACGCAGGCGGUUGAUUGAGUCAGAUGUGAAAUCCCCGGGCUUAACCUGGGAACUGCAUCUGAUACUGGCAAGCUUGAGUCUCGUAGAGUGGGGUAGAAUUCCAGGUGGAGCGGUGAAAUGCGUAGAGAUCUGGAGGAAUACCGGUGGCGAAGGCGGCCCCCUGGACGAAGACUGACGCUCAGGUGCGAAAGCGUGGGGAGCAAACAGG